GACGAACGCUGGCGGCGUGCUUAACACAUGCAAGUCGAACGGACUACUUUGCUUCGGUAAGGUGGUUAGUGGCGAACGGGUGAGUAACGCGUAGACAACCUACCUCUUAGAUGGGGACAACAUCGCGAAAGCGGUGCUAAUACCGAAUGAAGUGACUUUCCUGCAUGGGAGAGAUACUAAAGGUGGCCUCUAUUUAUAAGCUACCACUGAGAGAUGGGUCUGCGUCUGAUUAGCUAGUUGGCGGGGUAACGGCCCACCAAGGCGACGAUCAGUAGACGGGCUGAGAGGAUGAACGGCCACAUUGGGACUGAGACACGGCCCAAACUCCUACGGGAGGCAGCAGUGGGGAAUCUUCCGCAAUGGACGAAAGUCUGACGGAGCAACGCCGCGUGAGUGAAGAAGGUUUUCGGAUCGUAAAGCUCUGUUGUUUGAGACGAAUGUGCCUGUUUCGAAUAGGGAUAGGUAAUGACGGUAUUAAACGAGAAAGCCACGGCUAACUACGUGCCAGCAGCCGCAGUAA
rnacentral:rRNA from 1 species